GGGAUUGUAGCUCAGUGGUAGAGCACAUGCUUAGCAAGCAUGAGGCCCUGGGUUCAAUCUCUAGCAGUACAC
rnacentral:tRNA from 1 species